AACGCGAAGAACCUUACCUGGGUUUGACAUCCCCUGACACUUGCAGAGAUGUAAGCUUCCCUUCGGGGACAGGGAGACAGGUGCUGCAUGGCUGUCGUCAGCUCGUGUCGUAAGAUGUUGGGUUAAGUCCCGCAACGAGCGCAACCCUUGUCCUUAGUUGCCACCAUUCAGUUGGGCACUCUAGCGAGACCGCCGGUGAUAAACCGGAGGAAGGUGUGGAUGACGUCAAGUCAUCAUGCCCCUUACAUCCUGGGCUACACACGUACUACAAUGCUACGGACAAAGGGCGGCGAGCUCGCGAGAGUAAGCAAAUCCCAUAAACCGUGGCUCAGUUCAGAUCGUAGGCUGCAACUCGCCUACGUGAAGGAGGAAUCGCUAGUAAUCGUAGAUCAGCAACGCUACGGUGAAUACGUUCCCGGGUCUUGUACACACCG
rnacentral:rRNA from 1 species